GACAGAGGGUGCAAACGUUGUUCGGAAUUACUGGGCGUAAAGCGCGUGUAGGCGGCUUGGCAAGUCGGGUGUGAAAGCCCUCAGCUCAACUGAGGAAGUGCGCCCGAAACUGCUUUGCUUGAGUGCUGGAGAGGGUCGCGGAAUUCCCCAAGUAGAGGUGAAAUUCGUAGAUAUGGGGAGGAACACCGGUGGCGAAGGCGGCGACCUGGACAGUAACUGACGCUGAGACGCGAAAGCGUGGGUAGCAAACAGG
rnacentral:rRNA from 1 species